rnacentral:rRNA from 1 species
GACGAACGCUGGCGGCGUGCUUAACACAUGCAAGUCGAACGGCAAGGCCCUGCUUUUGUGGGGUGCUCGAGUGGCGAACGGGUGCGUAACACGUGAGUAACCUGCCCUUGACUUUGGGAUAACUUCAGGAAACUGGGGCUACUACCGGAUAGGAGCUCCUGCUGCAUGGUGGGGGUUGGAAAGUUUCGGCGGUUGGGGAUGGACUCGCGGCUUAUGAGCUUGUUGGUCGGGUAGUGGCUUACCCAGGCUUUGACGGGUAGCCGGCCUGAGAGGGUGACCGGCGACAAGGGGACUGAGAUACGGACCAGACUCCUACGGGAGGCAGCAGGGGGGAAUAUUGCACAGUGGGCCGAAGCCUGAGGCAGAAACGCCGCGUGCGGGAUGACGGCCUUCGGGUUGUAAACCGCUUUCGCCUGUGACGAAGCGGGAGUGACGGUAAUGGGUAAAGAAGCACCGGCUAACUACGUG